UACGUAGGGGGCAAGCGUUGUCCGGAUUUAUUGGACGUAAAGCGCUCGCAGGUGGUUCGUUGCGUCGUGCGUGAAAGACCCCGGCUCAACUGGGGAGGGUCGUGCGAUACGGGCGAACUGGAGGCCAGUAGGGGGAUGCGGAAUUCCGGGUGUAGUGGUGGAAUGCGUAGAGAUCCGGAGGAACACCAGCGGCGAAGGCGGCAUCCUGGACUGGUCCUGACACUCAGGAGCGAAAGCGUGGGGAGCGAUCCGG
rnacentral:rRNA from 1 species